AGGAUUGCCUUUUCUUUGUUAUGGAGUAUGUGAAUGGGAGAGACCUCUAUUUCCAUAUCGUGGUGAUGGGGCACUUUGAUCUACAAAGCACACAAUUCUAUGUUGCAGAGAUUAUUUGUGGGCUCCAAUUUCUUCACACAAAUGGAGUCAUAUACAGGGAUUUGAAGCUGAACAAUGUGAUGCUGGAUGGAGAUGGACAUAUUAAAAUUGUGGACUUUGGAUUGUGCAAGGACAACAUGAUUGAUGGGAAAGCAAUGAGCUUCUGUGGCACUGAGCACUACAUUGCA